rnacentral:rRNA from 1 species
GUAUAGUCUUUUUAUUUGGGAGGCUUGAAUGAACGGUUGGACAUAAAGAGAGCUGUCUUCGACUGGUGGAGGUGAAUUUAACUUUUGUGUGAAAAGGCAUUAAUAUUUUAGGGGGACGAUAAGACCCUAUAAAACUUGAUGAUUGAUCUGGGCUUUAUGAUUUUAGGGUAAAGAGAGGUCCAGGUGGUUUGUUGUGCUGGGGCGGCAAGAAUAAAAUUUGUAACUGUUCUUUUAUAUGUAAUAAUUAUUAUUAGAGUGUGAUCCUUAAUUUUGGAUUAAAAGAUUAAGUUACUUUAGGGAUAACAGCGUUAUUUCUCUUGAGAGUUCUUAUCGACAGAGAUGUUUGCGACCUCGAUGUUGAAUUAAAGCUUUCCCCGGGAGUAGAAGUUCGGGAUGAUAGGUCUGUUCGACCUUUAAAGUUUUACAUGAUUUGAGUUCAAACCGGUGUGAGCCAGGUUGGUUUCUAUC